GACGUAGGGUGCGAGCGUUGUCCGGAUUUAUUGGGCGUAAAGAGCUCGUAGGCGGCUUGUUGCGUCGACUGUGAAAACCCGCGGCUUAACUGCGGGCUUGCAGUUGAUACGGGCAGGCUAGAGUUCGGUAGGGGAGACUGGAAUUCCUGGUGUAGCGGUGAAAUGCGCAGAUAUCAGGAGGAACACCGGUGGCGAAGGCGGCAUCCUGGACCAACACUGACACUGAGGAGCGAAAGCCAGGGGAGCAAACGGG
rnacentral:rRNA from 1 species